rnacentral:lncRNA from 1 species
CGUGGAGAUAUGUAUUUGAGAGUACUUGGUAAUAGCAUCAGUUCUCGCACAACACAAUAAAUGCAAAACAGUCACUACUCAUUACUCAAAAAUUCAAAUCAGCAUAACUUGAAAUAAACAAAGUUCAACAUAAAGCAUUGUCAAAUAAUACCUAAAUAAUUUGUGGUUGAAGUUUAGCCCGAUAGUCAAUGUCAUUAGUCCUCGCAAAACAAAACAAAUGCAAAACAGUCACUACUUAUUACACAAAUAUUCAAAUCAGCAUAACUUGAAAUAGAGAAAAUACAAUAUAAGGCGUUGUCUAACAUAACCUAAUUAACUUGAGUUUGAAAUUGAACCCGGGAAAUUUCAAGCUCAAGUUAAUUAUUGUCCAAAAUAAUAUGCAAUUUCAAAUGUUUGUUACGUACCUCAUAUUUAAGUGCGUGGAGAAUAGUAUUUGAUAGUACGGUAAUAGCAUCAGUUCUCGCACAACACAAUAAAUGCAAAACAGUCACUACUCAUUACUCAAAAAUUCAAAUCAGCAUAACUUGAAAUAAACAAAGUACAACAUAAAGCAUUGUCAAAUAAUACCUAAAUAAUCUGAGGUUGAAGUUAAUCCCCAUAGUCAAUGUCAUUAGUCCUCGCAAAACAAAACAAAUGUAAAACAGUCACUACUUAUUACACAAAUAUUCAAAUCAGCAUAACUUGAAAUAGAGAAAAUACAAUAUAAGGCGUUGUCUAACAUAACCUAAUUAACUUGAGUUUGAAAUUGAACCCGGAAAAUUUCAAGCUCAAGUUAAUUAGUGUCCAAAAUAAAUAUACAAUUUCAAAUGUUUGUUACGUACCUCAAUAUUUAAAGGCGUGGAGAUAUGUAUUUGAGAGUAAUUGGUAAUACCAUCAGUUCUCGCACAACACAAUACUGCCAAACAUCACUUCUCAUUCCUCAAAAAAUUCAAAUAAUCAGCAUAACUUUAAUAACAAAGUACAACAUAAAGCCUUGUCAACUAAUACCUAAAUAAUUAGUGGUUACGUUUAGCCCGAUAGUCAAUGUCAUUAUCCUUGCCAACAAACAAUGAAAAACAGUCACUACUUAUUACACAAAUAUUCAAAUCAAAAGCCUAACUGAAAUAUAGAUAAUACCAAUAUCAGGCGUUGUCUAACAAACCUAAUUAAUUGAGUUUUAAAUUGAACCCGAAAAUUUCAAGCUCAAGUUAAUUAUUGUCCAAACUAAAUAUACAAUUUCACUGUUUGUUAGUACCUCAUAUUUACAGGCGUGGAGUUAUGUAUUUUGAGAGUACUUGAUAAUAGCAUCAGUUCUCGCACCACACAAUAAAUGCAAAGACAGUCACUACCACUACUCAUUACUCAAAAUUCAAAUCAGCAUACCUGAAAUAAACAAAGUACACAUAGCAUUGUCAAAUAAUAUCUCAAUAUCUGAGCUUGAAAGUACACCCCGAUAGUCAAUGUCAUUGUUUCUCGCAAAACAAACCAAUGAAAAACAGUCAGGACUUAUUACACAAAUAUCAAUCACCUACUUGAAAUAGAGAAACUACAAUAUAAGGCUUUGUCUAACAUAACCUAUUAACUUGGUGUUGAAAUGAACCUCGAAAGAUUUCAGCUCAGUUAAUGUAAGUGUCUAAAAUAAAUAUCAAUUUGAAAUGUUUGCUAGACCUCAAUAUUUAAAGGCGUGAGAUAUGUUUUGAGAGUAAUUGGUAAACCAUACAUUUCUCCGCACACACAAUACAUGGCAAAACAGUCACUACUAUUACUGCAAAAUUCAAAUCAGCAUAACUUGAAAUAAACAAAGUACCAUAUCAUUUUCAAAUAUACCUAAAAUAAUUAGUGGGUUUGAAGUUUAGAGCCCGAUAGUCAUAUGUCAUUAGUCCUGUGGCAAAACAAAACACUGAAAAACAGUCACUACUUAUUACACAAAUAAUUCCAAUCACAUACUUGAAAUAAAGAUAAUACAAUAUAAGUCGUUUGUCUAACAUAACCGAAUUAACUUAGUUUGAAAUUGAACCCGAGCAACUUUCACAAGCUCUAGUUUAAUUUAUUGUCCAAAAUAAAUUACAAUUUCAAAUGUUUGUUACGGCGUACCUCAAUAUUUAAAGGCGUGGAGAUAUGUAUUUGAGAGUACUUGUAAUAGCAUCAGUUCUCGCACACACAAUAAAUGCAAACUUCACUACUCAUUUACUCAAAUGUCAAAUCAGCCUAACUUGAAAUAACAAAGUACAAACAUAAAGCAUUGUUUCAAUAAUAGCUAAUAAUCUGAGGUUGAAGUAACCCGGAUCAAUGUCCCAUUAGUCCUCUCAAACAAAACCAUGAAAAACAUUCCUACUUAUUAAUCACAAUUUCAAUCAGCAUAACUUGAAAUAGAGACAUACCAUAUAAGGCGUUGUCUAACAUAACCUAAGUAACGUGACUUGAAAUUGAACACUGGAAAUUUCAGCUCAAGUAAUUAUUGUCCAAAAUAGAUAUAACAAUUUCAAAAUGUUUUUUUACGUACCUCAAUUUUUAAAGGCUUGAGAUAUGUAUUUGAGAUUACUCUUGGUAAUAGCAGAGUUCUCGCACAACACAAUAAAUGCAAACAGUCACUACCCAUUACUCAAAAAUUUCAAAUCGCAUAACUUGAAAUAAACAAAAGUUCAACAUAAAGCAGUUGUCAAAUAAUACUAAAUACUUGUGGUUUAAGUUUAGUUAGCCCAUAGUCAAUGUCAUUAGUCCUCGCCAAACAAAACAAAGCAAAACAGUCACUACUUGUAUUACACAAAGAUUCAAAUCGCAUAACUUGAAAUAGAGAGAAAAUCUAAAUAUAAGGCGUUGUCUAACAAACUAAUUAACUGGUUUGGAAAUUGAACCCGAGAAAUUUCAAGCUCAAGUUGAAACCGAGAAAAAAUUUUCAGCCAAGGUUAAUUAUUGUCCAAAAUAAAAUAAAUAACAAUUUCAAUGGUUGUGUUACGUACCUCCAUAUUUAAAGGCGUUUGGAGAUAUGUAUUUGAUUAGUACUUGGUAAUAGCAUCCGUUCCGCACAACACCAAUUAAAUGCAAAACAGUCACUCCUUCAUUACUCAAAAAUCAAAUCAGCAUCAACUUGGAAAAUAAACAAAGUUCAACAUAAAGAAUUGUCAAUAUAAUACCUAAAUAAUUUGUGGUGAAGUUAAUCCCCAUAGGUCAAUGUCAUUAGUCC